UCCGUAGGCGGAUCUAUAAGUCAGGGGUGAAAGUUUGCCGCUCAAACGGUAAAAUUGCCUUUGAUACUGUAGGUCUUGAAUACGUGUGAAGUGGUUAGAAUGUGUAGUGUAGCGGUGAAAUGCAUAGAUAUUACACAGAAUACCGAUUGCGAAGGCAGAUCACUAACACGUCAUUGACGCUGAUGGACGAAAGCGUGGGGAGCGAACA
rnacentral:rRNA from 1 species